rnacentral:lncRNA from 1 species
CCCUCCACAGGGUACCUCUGGUUCAAAUCCCCAGCAAAGACAUGGAAGAAUUUUUGCAACGCGCCAAAUCUAAACUGAUAUUGGUAUCAUUUGGGGUAUGGUGUACAAGUCUGGGGAGCACUUGCAA